rnacentral:lncRNA from 1 species
GCUAUUUUACAGAUCAGAAAUCAGAGGAAUAUACAGGCUAAGAAACUGAACCAAAACCAUGCAGAAAAUGGCAGAAUUGGGAAUUCAGCACAGGGAACCAGAUUUGACAAAUACUACUCCUCAAUAUGAAAACCCACUUCCAACAGCAUGAUGGAAAAUGUGAGAAUAUGUGUGUGUCCAAAAUUGAUGAAACAGAAAAUUUAUGUUUGAAGUGAUGUAUAAAAGGAGUUCUAAUUGCUGAGCUGAUUCUUGGUGAAUGAAUAGUUAGAUUCAGCAAGACCUCCUUCUGAGUGCAGGCUUGGUUCUCCUAGUUGUUUUGCUCCUGUGCUUUGAAUGGAUACGUCUACAGGAACAUUCAGAGGAGCUAGCUCACAGCGCCGUCUAACGUCCGUAGAUGGGAGGCUAAGAGCCAACUUCGGAACAAAGCUAUGUAAAAGACUUAGGGGUCACGGAGCCAAAGAGACCCCACUGGAGCACACAGUUGACGCAGCUUGGAUCUGUAUUGGAAGCACCAUUGGACACUCCUCAGACAUCACAACCGGACUUCUCAGCUGUAGACACCUCUGUAUCAUUUUCAAACUUCUUGCUGUUAUGGUGGUGAGUUCAAGUCCUGAUCUAAUGCUCUGGACAAAUGUCUGUUGAAGCAUGAUGAGGACACAUUUUGUUUCUUACAAUUUUGAGUACAUAGUGAAACUAAGUGACCCCCAGACUUCCAUUUUAUUAUUAACAUAUAAUGGAUUAUUUGUUUCAGAGAUACAGGUUUGUGUUUCAUCAGUCUUACAUAGUGCUCACAGUAACACCCACCUCAAUGUCCAUCAUCCAGUUACCCCAUCCCUCC